CCUACGGGAGGCUGCAGUGGGGAAUAUUGGGCAAUGGGCGCAAGCCUGACCCAGCAACGCCGCGUGAAGGAAGAAGGCUUUCGGGUUGUAAACUUCUUUUCUCAGGGACGAAGCAAGUGACGGUACCUGAGGAAUAAGCCACGGCUAACUACGUGCCAUCAGCCGCGGCAAUACGUAGGUGGCAAGCGUUAUCCGGAUUUACUGGGUGUAAAGGGAGUGUAGGCGGGACGGCAAGUCAGAUGUGAAAGCUACGGGCUCAACCUGUGGACUGCAUGUGAAACUGGAGUUCUUGAGUACUGGAGAGGCAGACGGAAUUCCUGGGGUAGCGGUGAAAUGCGUAGAUAUUAGGAGGAACACCGGUGGCGAAGGCAGUCUGCUGGACAGCAACUGACGCUGAGGCGCGAAAGCGUGGGGAGCAAACAGGAUUAGAUACCCCAGUAGUC
rnacentral:rRNA from 1 species